UACGGAGGGUGCAAGCGUUAUCCGGAAUCACUGGGCGUAAAGGGCGCGUAGGUGGUCUGUUAAGUCUGGCGUUAAAGCCUGGGGCUCAACCCCAGAUCAGCGUUGGAUACUGGCAGGCUAGAAGGUUGGAGAGGCGAGUGGAAUUACCAGUGUAGCGGUGGAAUGCGUAGAUACUGGUAGGAACACCCAUUGCGAAGGCAGCUCGCUGGACAACACGUGACACUGAGGCGCGAAAGUGUGAAGAACAAACCGGGUUAGAUACCCGUGUAGU
rnacentral:rRNA from 1 species